rnacentral:tRNA from 1 species
GGCCCGGUGGCGGAGUGGCGACGUAGAAGCCCUGCACGGUCUUCCAGCCUGGUUCGAUUCCAGGCCGGGCCUCCA